UUAAGCGACUAAGCGUACACGGUGGAUGCCCUGGCAGUCAGAGGCGAUGAAGGACGUGCUAAUCUGCGAUAAGCGUCGGUGAGGUGAUAUGAACCGUUAUAACCGGCGAUUUCCGAAUGGGGAAACCCAGUGUGUUUCGACACACUAUCAUUAACUGAAUCCAUAGGUUAAUGAGGCGAACCGGGGGAACUGAAACAUCUAAGUACCCCGAGGAAAAGAAAUCAACCGAGAUUCCCCCAGUAGCGGCGAGCGAACGGGGAGGAGCCCAGAGCCUGAAUCAGUGUGUGUGUUAGUGGAAGCGUCUGGAAAGGCGCGCGAUACAGGGUGACAGCCCCGUACACAAAAAUGCACAUAUUGUGAGCUCGAUGAGUAGGGCGGGACACGUGGUAUCCUGUCUGAAUAUGGGGGGACCAUCCUCCAAGGCUAAAUACUCCUGACUGACCGAUAGUGAACCAGUACCGUGAGGGAAAGGCGAAAAGAACCCCGGCGAGGGGAGUGAAAAAGAACCUGAAACCGUGUACGUACAAGCAGUGGGAGCCUCUUAAUGGGGUGACUGCGUACCUUUUGUAUAAUGGGUCAGCGACUUAUAUUCUGUAGCAAGGUUAACCGAAUAGGGGAGCCGAAGGGAAACCGAGUCUUAACUGGGCGUUAAGUUGCAGGGUAUAGACCCGAAACCCGGUGAUCUAGCCAUGGGCAGGUUGAAGGUUGGGUAACACUAACUGGAGGACCGAACCGACUAAUGUUGAAAAAUUAGCGGAUGACUUGUGGCUGGGGGUGAAAGGCCAAUCAAACCGGGAGAUAGCUGGUUCUCCCCGAAAGCUAUUUAGGUAGCGCCUCGUGAAUUCAUCUCCGGGGGUAGAGCACUGUUUCGGCAAGGGGGUCAUCCCGACUUACCAACCCGAUGCAAACUGCGAAUACCGGAGAAUGUUAUCACGGGAGACACACGGCGGGUGCUAACGUCCGUCGUGAAGAGGGAAACAACCCAGACCGCCAGCUAAGGUCCCAAAGUCAUGGUUAAGUGGGAAACGAUGUGGGAAGGCCCAGACAGCCAGGAUGUUGGCUUAGAAGCAGCCAUCAUUUAAAGAAAGCGUAAUAGCUCACUGGUCGAGUCGGCCUGCGCGGAAGAUGUAACGGGGCUAAACCAUGCACCGAAGCUGCGGCAGCGACGCUUAUGCGUUGUUGGGUAGGGGAGCGUUCUGUAAGCCUGUGAAGGUGGCCUGUGAGGGUUGCUGGAGGUAUCAGAAGUGCGAAUGCUGACAUAAGUAACGAUAAAGCGGGUGAAAAGCCCGCUCGCCGGAAGACCAAGGGUUCCUGUCCAACGUUAAUCGGGGCAGGGUGAGUCGACCCCUAAGGCGAGGCCGAAAGGCGUAGUCGAUGGGAAACAGGUUAAUAUUCCUGUACUUGGUGUUACUGCGAAGGGGGGACGGAGAAGGCUAUGUUGGCCGGGCGACGGUUGUCCCGGUUUAAGCGUGUAGGCUGGUUUUCCAGGCAAAUCCGGAAAACCAAGGCUGAGGCGUGAUGACGAGGCACUACGGUGCUGAAGCGACAAAUGCCCUGCUUCCAGGAAAAGCCUCUAAGCAUCAGGUAACAUCAAAUCGUACCCCAAACCGACACAGGUGGUCAGGUAGAGAAUACCAAGGCGCUUGAGAGAACUCGGGUGAAGGAACUAGGCAAAAUGGUGCCGUAACUUCGGGAGAAGGCACGCUGAUAUGUAGGUGAAGCGACUUGCUCGUGGAGCUGAAAUCAGUCGAAGAUACCAGCUGGCUGCAACUGUUUAUUAAAAACACAGCACUGUGCAAACACGAAAGUGGACGUAUACGGUGUGACGCCUGCCCGGUGCCGGAAGGUUAAUUGAUGGGGUUAGCGGUAACGCGAAGCUCUUGAUCGAAGCCCCGGUAAACGGCGGCCGUAACUAUAACGGUCCUAAGGUAGCGAAAUUCCUUGUCGGGUAAGUUCCGACCUGCACGAAUGGCGUAAUGAUGGCCAGGCUGUCUCCACCCGAGACUCAGUGAAAUUGAACUCGCUGUGAAGAUGCAGUGUACCCGCGGCAAGACGGAAAGACCCCGUGAACCUUUACUAUAGCUUGACACUGAACAUUGAGCCUUGAUGUGUAGGAUAGGUGGGAGGCUUUGAAGUGUGGACGCCAGUCUGCAUGGAGCCGACCUUGAAAUACCACCCUUUAAUGUUUGAUGUUCUAACGUGGGCCCCUAAUCGGGGUUGCGGACAGUGUCUGGUGGGUAGUUUGACUGGGGCGGUCUCCUCCUAAAGAGUAACGGAGGAGCACGAAGGUUGGCUAAUCCUGGUCGGACAUCAGGAGGUUAGUGCAAUGGCAUAAGCCAGCUUGACUGCGAGCGUGACGGCGCGAGCAGGUGCGAAAGCAGGUCAUAGUGAUCCGGUGGUUCUGAAUGGAAGGGCCAUCGCUCAACGGAUAAAAGGUACUCCGGGGAUAACAGGCUGAUACCGCCCAAGAGUUCAUAUCGACGGCGGUGUUUGGCACCUCGAUGUCGGCUCAUCACAUCCUGGGGCUGAAGUAGGUCCCAAGGGUAUGGCUGUUCGCCAUUUAAAGUGGUACGCGAGCUGGGUUUAGAACGUCGUGAGACAGUUCGGUCCCUAUCUGCCGUGGGCGCUGGAGAACUGAGGGGGGCUGCUCCUAGUACGAGAGGACCGGAGUGGACGCAUCACUGGUGUUCGGGUUGUCAUGCCAAUGGCACUGCCCGGUAGCUAAAUGCGGAAGAGAUAAGUGCUGAAAGCAUCUAAGCACGAAACUUGCCCCGAGAUGAGUUCUCCCUGAGACUUAGAGUCUCCUGAAGGAACGUUGAAGACGACGACGUUGAUAGGCCGGGUGUGUAAGCGCAGCGAUGCGUUGAGCUAACCGGUACUAAUGAACCGUGAGGCUUAACCUU
rnacentral:rRNA from 3 species